rnacentral:ncRNA from 1 species
UGAACUCCUAGCCCUGUUGCCUAAGUUUUCCGAAAACUGGAUGUUUUCAAAAAUAUGGCGUCAGGGCCGUGGCUAUAAGCCACCAGGGUACAAGGUAGAAAUGCCUGUGCCUCCCGAUAUUGGAAAGGUGUUAAC